rnacentral:rRNA from 1 species
UACGUAGGGUCCGAGCGUUGUCCGGAAUUAUUGGGCGUAAAGAGCUCGUAGGCGGUUUGUCGCGUCUGCUGUGAAAUCCCGAGGCUCAACCUCGGGUCUGCAGUGGGUACGGGCAGACUGGAGUGCGGUAGGGGAGAAUGGAAUUCCUGGUGUAGCGGUGAAAUGCGCAGAUAUCAGGAGGAACACCGAUGGCGAAGGCAGGUCUCUGGGCAUUAACUGACGCUGAGGAGCGAAAGCAUGGGGAGCGAACAGG